CGUCACAACAAAAUAAAACGAGUCUGUCCGAACGUGUAAAAACUGCCCAACAGAACAUUCUACUCUCUCCUUCCGUGAUACUAAACUCAAUGCCUAAGGUAACCGCCUCGCCACAAGCAAUUAUCAACAAAACGGAUAUGGCAAAUGGCAAAACCAUGUUUUCUUCUUCUUCUUCUUCUCCUCCAUGAGAGACAACGGAAACUACAACGACACAUGCUGGUAGCGCUCGACGUUAAGCGAUAAGUUUGUCUCUCGCUCUGUGGCAAUGACAGUGUACGAUGUGCAUCCCUUCGGAUGCCAUGUUCUGCCAGCAGUAUCAACGCGUUGACGCACAAGGCAUAUAGAACGUUCCUCACCUGAGUGCUUCAGAGGACUCUCACGACACAAAAACAGAGGAAAUGGGAUCGGUGAUCGGCUACGACCUCGUGGCCGUUAGGACAGCCAUCACUCAUGGGCAGAUGGCAGCGUCAGGAACAUGCCAUCAGAUAGAUCACUACUAAGUACCGCUUAUGGUGUCACGAAGGAGGUCUCCUUCAAAACUCUUUUCCGUGUUUGGGUUCCUAAGCUAAAAGAAAAGACUGCACGUACUUUUGUUGAAAAACCACAAAUAUUGUGUAAGAAAUUCCGAAAGAUGGUACGAGAUAUUUCAUUUUA